rnacentral:ncRNA from 1 species
GAAUCUUAUCUACUACGGUCUGUGAUAUAUCAAUGAGAAAGAAAAACUCAAAAAGAUAAGUGAUUAUACUGAAUACUGAUAAUAUUCA